CCAGAACUUUGUUGGUAAAUGCUUCCUUCGAUUGAAGGUGUGAUUAUGGUACUUUUCUAAUAUCGUAGCACUGGUCGUCUGCAUGAAUUACUGAACCUGUGUUUUUGAUUCUUUAUAGGAUUAAUAUUUUUAUUUACAGGCACUAUAGAACCUAAAUCUCCCAAAUAAAUGCAAGAAGAGGCACUUCAUAAGAAAAUAACUAAGAAACAGGGACUGAGUACACAUCUUCAGUCUCAAAAAGUGAAUUAAAAGAGUCUAGUGGCUUGGAGGUUGAGUUCUCCAAAAGCAGUGAUUAUGAGAAAUUAGAACCCUGGGCUACUAGAUCAAAAUUGAUAAAGCCAAGGUCCCAACAUCCUCUACAUUGGUGUUCAUAGCCACCCUAUUAAGCAUCCCCAUUUGAAGAGAGAAACCCAACUGCGAACCCUAAUGGGGAUGGAAUAGAGGUUGCAGAGGGUGUAUAUAUGACAAGUUUGUCUAAGGAGAAUAAUGAUUCUAAAGUGGGUUAUAGAAAUGCUAAUAUUGAAUUUUUCAAUGGUGUUGCUACUACAACUCAACCUCUAAGAGGGGCAGACUUGAGGAGAUAGGCUGUACCUAAGUCUAUAGCUUACUAUAAUGACAGAGUAUCCUUGAACAACAAGGUAAACCAUAACUGGAGCAUACAAAAAUAACAUUGAAUGCUACCUAGGGAACUAUCGAGGGUUCUAAAUUAGGGUGGAUGACCAAGCAUGUUGGAAAAUACAGACCAAGUUGGUGCAUGAAUUUUAUGCCAACUUUGCAGUAACGACAGAGAACAUUACUCCUUCUGGGAAGGAGAUGUAUAUGAUGAAGUAGCCAAAGUUAUAUUUAGUAAUGUUGAGGGGUACACUCAUUGACAUAUCACAAAAGCCUAUUGAAAAAGCCUUGCUCAGAGAUGAUUUUAAGCCAUCACUAGAGGCUCCAGAGUAUGAUUACUAGAUGUCAAAAUUAAAAAAGGUCAAGAUCUAGAUCAUGGGGAAUAAGUUGAUACAGUAUAAGUAGUUGGUGGACCACAUUGCUAGCAAAGGAGAGAGAUGGGUGGGUAAAUGGUGCAAUAUUUUAAGCACAUUGAGAGUUUCACCAUUAAGGUGUGGUAGUCUAUUGUUAGAUACCUUUUCUCAUUAAUAAGUAGUGAAACCAUAUUGAUUGCGGACAAGGCUAAAAUGAUAGUGGAUUUUAAGGUAGAACUGGAUUUAAAUAUUCGAUGAUCAUUGUAGAAGAAAUUUAAGAGAGGACAUUACUCUAUCAUACUAUCCUCUCUUUCCCCAACUUGACAUAUUCUAUGCUACAAUUUGAGUGUACCUUCUAUUCUAUUAGUUGACAAAUUCACCUUUCUUAUAAGACUGCAGACAUCACCUUAAUAAAGAAUGCUUUGAAUAUGGUGAUUUGAGUCUGAGGUUUGGUGCCAGACUUGCCUUUAUAGGCAACUGAGAGAGCUAUAGCUACUAUAGAUUUUUCGAAUUUCAAAGUUGGUGUUACUUUAUUAUCCAUACCGCAACCCACAUCACAUUUGGGUACAGUUUAGUCAGCAAAUGUCGUCUAUACAUUGGUGCCUACAACUUUUCUGGAGCAAAUUAUGAUGAACCAAACUGUGUUGGAUCCGAAGAUAAAAUAUAUUAGAGAUGAGGGUAAUCCCUACUUAGUAGAUGAAAUUAGAGUAGUAGUGCGGGGAAUGCAGACUUGCCUUGAUAGUUUUGAGAGCUAGAUGAUGGAUAAUAUAGAUAGUCUAUAGGCCUUAGAUUUGAGCACACUCACCAUUGAGUUAGAUGGUUUAAAAAAUACUGUGAAGGAAUUUUUUGGGACACAGUUCUUAGUAGUACAACUUCCACCACUACCUAUAUUUGAUGAUUUUGUGGUAAACAUACAAGUACCAACUUUUAGACCCAAGAUCCAACAGAUAGGGGUGUGGGUAAAUAGGUAGAUGCAGAGGUAGAGAAGAUAAAGGAUGCUUGUUUCCCAUAAGAAGUGGAAAAAAAUGGGUAAGGGUGAGAAAAAGAAAGUGGAUAGAAAAGGAAGAAAGAGAAAGAAUAAG
rnacentral:lncRNA from 1 species